AAUAGAUACCCCGGUAGUCCUUACUGUAAACGAUGUAUACUUGGUGCAACCGGACUCAACCCUGGUUGUGCCGUAGCUAACGCGAUAAGUAUACCGCCUGGGGAGUACGCUCGCAAGGGUGAAACUCAAAAGAAUUGACGGGGACCCGCACAAGCAGUGGAGCAUGUGGUUUAAUUCGAUGCAACGCGAAGAACCUUACCCAGGUUUGACAUGCAGUAGACAGCGCUAGAGAUAGCGUCUCCCUUCGGGGCUGCUGCACAGGUGCUGCAUGGCUGUCGUCAGCUCGUGCCGUGAGGUGUUGGGUUAAGUCCCGCAACGAGCGCAACCCUUAUCAUUAGUUGCCAACAUUUAAGGUGGGAACUCUAAUGAGACUGCCCGGGUUAACCGGGAGGAAGGUGAGGAUGACGUCAAGUCCGCAUGGCCCUUAUGUCUGGGGCUACACACGUGCUACAAUGGUCGGUACAAAAGGCAGCGAAACCGUGAGGUGAAGCAAAUCCCUAAAGCCGAUCCCAGUUCAGAUUGUAGUCUGCUAACG
rnacentral:rRNA from 1 species